rnacentral:rRNA from 1 species
UACGGAGGGUGCAAGCGUUGUUCGGAAUUAUUGGGCGUAAAGGGCAUGUAGGCGGGUCAUUAAGUCUGAUGUGAAAUCCCUCGGCUCAACCGAGGACGUGCAUUGGAAACUGAUGAUCUUGAGUCCUGGAGAGGAAGGCGGAAUUCCCAGUGUAGAGGUGAAAUUCGUAGAUAUUGGGAGGAACACCAGCGGCGAAGGCGGCCUUCUGGACAGUGACUGACGCUAAGGUGCGAAAGCGUGGGUAGCAAACAGG